AUGGGAAUUACCUAGGCAUUCUAUUAGAAAGCAAACUAUGAUUUAGCAUAUCCCAAAUGGAACCUAAAAUUUUGAAUUUCUAACACACUCCCAAGAGAUGUCAAC
rnacentral:pre_miRNA from 1 species